rnacentral:hammerhead_ribozyme from 1 species
ACCUUUCUGAAGAGUGCCAAAUAGCACGGAACCCAGGUCCAGGGU